AGGAGGGGAUCUGCAGCUCGCGCCGUGUGCCAGAGGAGAAGUCAGCUGCUCUGCAGAAUGUUCCAUUUACUUAGCUAUGUCAACUGCAGUUAUUCAAUUCCCAGUUUCUCUCCCUUUGAUGUCUACUUCUCAGGUUAUAUCACCUGUGUCGGUGAGCACCUCCUGCAUCUGAACUGGCUGACACAUAGAGGGCACAGCAUGAUCUGAGGCAUGUUUUGAUGUGAGAGAGGAUGCCAACCCCCAGUCCCGUCAUCGCCACCUCACCCGCUCUUAAGAUAACCUUCGGGCCGACUGGGAGCCCAAGGCUGGUUAAGAGACACCACUAGAGUCACUAUUAUGUAAUUGUGAUGAACUGAGAGAAUAUUAGGGUAGCACUGUGAUUCAUUAAUCAUAUGCUGCCUUCCCUGCUCCUAUGUUCUUACCUCUUUCCCUUUCUGUCUUUUACACCUAUCUCACCACCCCCUCUUUCUUCCUCUGUUUUUAUAAUGCACAACA